rnacentral:rRNA from 1 species
CCCGUACACAAAAAUGCACAUGCUGUGAGCUCGAUGAGUAGGGCGGGACACGUGGUAUCCUGUCUGAAUAUGGGGGGACCAUCCUCCAAGGCUAAAUACUCCUGACUGACCGAUAGUGAACCAGUACCGUGAGGGAAAGGCGAAAAGAACCCCGGCGAGGGGAGUGAAAAAGAACCUGAAACCGUGUACGUACAAGCAGUGGGAGCACAGAGCAAUCUGUGUGACUGCGUACCUUUUGUAUAAUGGGUCAGCGACUUAUAUUCUGUAGCAAGGUUAACCGAAUAGGGGAGCCGAAGGGAAACCGAGUCUUAACUGGGCGUUAAGUUGCAGGGUAUAGACCCGAAACCCGGUGAUCUAGCCAUGGGCAGGUUGAAGGUUGGGUAACACUAACUGGAGGACCGAACCGACUAAUGUUGAAAAAUUAGCGGAUGACUUGUGGCUGGGGGUGAAAGGCCAAUCAAACCGGGAGAUAGCUGGUUCUCCCCGAAAGCUAUUUAGGUAGCGCCUCGUGAAUUCAUCUCCGGGGGUAGAGCACUGUUUCGGCAAGGGGGUCAUCCCGACUUACCAACCCGAUGCAAACUGCGAAUACCGGAGAAUGUUAUCACGGGAGACACACGGCGGGUGCUAACGUCCGUCGUGAAGAGGGAAACAACCCAGACCGCCAGCUAAGGUCCCAAAGUCAUGGUUAAGUGGGAAACGAUGUGGGAAGGCCCAGACAGCCAGGAUGUUGGCUUAGAAGCAGCCAUCAUUUAAAGAAAGCGUAAUAGCUCACUGGUCGAGUCGGCCUGCGCGGAAGAUGUAACGGGGCUAAACCAUGCACCGAAGCUGCGGCAGCGACGCUUAUGCGUUGUUGGGUAGGGGAGCGUUCUGUAAGCCUGCGAAGGUGUGCUGUGAGGCAUGCUGGAGGUAUCAGAAGUGCGAAUGCUGACAUAAGUAACGAUAAAGCGGGUGAAAAGCCCGCUCGCCGGAAGACCAAGGGUUCCUGUCCAACGUUAAUCGGGGCAGGGUGAGUCGACCCCUAAGGCGAGGCCGAAAGGCGUAGUCGAUGGGAAACAGGUUAAUAUUCCUGUACUUGGUGUUACU